rnacentral:misc_RNA from 1 species
GAUGAAGAACGCAGCAAAAUGCGAUAAGUAAUGUGAAUUGCAGAAUUCAGUGAAUCAUCGAAUCUUUGAACGCACAUUGCGCCCGCCAGUAUUCUGGCGGGCAUGCCUGUUCGAGCGUCAUUUCAACCCUCAAGCACAGCUUGGUGUUGGGACUCGCGUUAAUUCGCGUUCCUCAAAUUGAUUGGCGGUCACGUCGAGCUUCCAUAGCGUAGUAGUAAAACCCUCGUUACUGGUAAUCGUCGCGGCCACGCCGUUAGACCCCAACUUCUGAAUGUUGACCUCGGAUCAGGUAGGAAUACCCGCUGAACUUAAGCAUAUCAAUAAGCGGAGGA